rnacentral:rRNA from 1 species
UACGGAGGGUGCAAGCGUUAUCCGGAUUCACUGGGUUUAAAGGGUGCGUAGGAGGGCAGGUAAGUCAGUGGUGAAAUCCCCGAGCUUAACUUGGGAACUGCCGUUGAUACUAUCUGUCUUGAAUGCUGUGGAGGUGAGCGGAAUAUGUCAUGUAGCGGUGAAAUGCUUAGAUAUGACAUAGAACACCAAUUGCGAAGGCAGCUCGCUGCACAGUUAUUGACUCUGAGGCACGAAAGCGUGGGGAUCAAACAGG